AUACGGAGGAUCCGAGCGUUAUCCGGAUUUAUUGGGUUUAAAGGGAGCGUAGGUGGAUUGUUAAGUCAGUUGUGAAAGUUUGCGGCUCAACCGUAAAAUUGCAGUUGAAACUGGCAGUCUUGAGUACAGUAGAGGUGGGAGGAAUUCGUGGCGUAGCGGUGAAAUGCUUAGAUAUCACGAAGAACUCCGAUUGCGAAGGCAGCUCACUAGACUGUUACUGACACUGAUGCUCGAAAGUGUGGGUAUCAAACAGGAUUAGAUACCCUGGUAGUCCACACAGUAAACGAUGAAUACUCGCUGUUUGCAAUAUACAGUAAGCGGCCAAGCGAAAGCAUUAAGUAUUCCACCUGGGGAGUACGCCGGCAACGGUGAAACUCAAAUGAAUUGACGGGG
rnacentral:rRNA from 1 species